rnacentral:rRNA from 1 species
CCGGAGAAUGUUAUCACGGGAGACACACGGCGGGUGCUAACGUCCGUCGUGAAGAGGGAAACAACCCAGACCGCCAGCUAAGGUCCCAAAGUCAUGGUUAAGUGGGAAACGAUGUGGGAAGGCCCAGACAGCCAGGAUGUUGGCUUAGAAGCAGCCAUCAUUUAAAGAAAGCGUAAUAGCUCACUGGUCGAGUCGGCCUGCGCGGAAGAUGUAACGGGGCUAAACCAUGCACCGAAGCUGCGGCAGCGAUAUGAAAAUAUUGUUGGGUAGGGGAGCGUUCUGUAAGCCUGUGAAGGUGUGUCGUGAGGCAUGCUGGAGGUAUCAGAAGUGCGAAUGCUGACAUAAGUAACGAUAAAGCGGGUGAAAAGCCCGCUCGCCGGAAGACCAAGGGUUCCUGUCCAACGUUAAUCGGGGCAGGGUGAGUCGACCCCUAAGGCGAGGCCGAAAGGCGUAGUCGAUGGGAAACGGGUUAAUAUUCCCGUACUUGGUGUUACUGCGAAGGGGGGAC